rnacentral:rRNA from 1 species
GAUGAACGCUGGCGGCGUGCCUAAUACAUGCAAGUCGAGCGAACAGACCAGGAGCUUGCUCCCCUGACGUUAUCGGCGGACGGGUGAGUAACACGUGGUUAACCUAACUAUAAGACUGGGAUAACUUCAGGAAACCGGAGCUAAUACCGGAUAAUAUAUUGCACCUCAUGGUUCAAUAGUGAAAGACGGUUUUGCUGUCACUUAUAGAUGGAUCCGCGCCGCAUUAGCUAGUUGGUAACGUAACGGCUUACCAAGGCGACGAUGCGUAGCCGACCUGAGAGGGAGAUCGGCCACACUGGAUCUGAGGCACGGUCCAGACUCCGACGGGAGGCAGCAGUAGGGAAUCCUCCGCAAUGGGCGAAAGCCUAACGGAGCAACGUCGCGGGAGUGAUGAAGGUCUUCGGAUCGGAGAGCUCUGUUAUUAGGGAAGUACAAAUGUGUAAGUAACUAUGAACGUCUUGACGGUACCUAAUCAGAAAGCCACGGCUAACUACGUG